GAUGAACGCUGGCGGUAUGCUUAACACAUGCAAGUCGAACGAAGUCUUUCGGGACUUAGUGGCGGACGGGUGAGUAACGCGUGAGAAUCUGCCUUUUGGAUGGGGAUAACAGGGAGAAAUCGCUGCUAAAACCCAAUGUGCCCACGGGUGAAAUAUUUAUAGCCAAGAGAGGAGCUCGCGUCCGAUUAGUUAGUUGGUGGGGUAAAAGCCUACCAAGGCAGCGAUCGGUAGCUGGUCUGAGAGGAUGAGCAGCCACACUGGGACUGAGACACGGCCCAGACUCCUACGGGAGGCAGCAGUGGGGAAUCUUCCGCAAUGGGCGAAAGCCUGACGGAGCAAUACCGCGUGAGGGAGGAAGGCUUUUGGGUUGUAAACCUCUUUUGUUAAGGAAGAAGCAAGUGACGGUACUUAACGGAUCAGCAUCGGCUAACUCCGUGCCAGCAGCCGCGGUAAUACGGAGGAUGCAAGCGCUAUCCGGAAUCAUUGGGCGUAAAGCGUCCGCAGGUGGUUCAUCAAGUCUGCUGUUAAAGACAGAAGCUCAACUUCUGGUCGGCGGUGGAAACUGGUGAACUAGAGUACGGUAGGGGUCGAGGGAAUUCCCAGUGUAGCGGUGAAAUGCGUAGAUAUUGGGAAGGACACCAGUGACGAAGGCGCUCGACUGGGCCGUAACUGACACUCAGGGACGAAAGCUAGGGUAGCGAAAGGGAUUAGAUACCCCUGUAGUCUUAGCUGUAAACGAUGAACACUAGGCGUUGCUUGUAUCGACCCGAGCAGUGCCGUAGCCAACGCGUUAAGUGUUCCGCCUGGGGAGUACGCACGCAAGUGCGAAACUCAAAGGAAUUGACGGGGGCCCGCACAAGCGGUGGAGUAUGUGGUUUAAUUCGAUGCAACGCGAAGAACCUUACCAGGACUUGACAUCCCAAGAAGGAAGCGUCAUGGUUUCCGUGCCUUAGGGAACUUGGAGACAGGUGGUGCAUGGCUGUCGUCAGCUCGUGUCGUGAGAUGUUGGGUUAAGUCCCGCAACGAGCGCAACCCUCGUUCUUAGUUGCCAGCAUUAAGUUGGGCACUUUAGGAAGACUGCCGGUGACGAACCGGAGGAAGGUGGGGAUGACGUCAAGUCAGCAUGCCCCUUACGUUCUGGGCUACACACGUACUACAAUGGUUGGGACAAAGGGCAGCGAACUCGCAAGAGUAAGCGAAUCUCAGCAAACCCAGCCUCAGUUCAGAUUGCAGGCUGCAACUCGCCU
rnacentral:rRNA from 1 species